CACGUAGGGGGCGAGCGUUGACCGGAUUUAUUGGGCGUAAAGAGCUCGUAGGCGGUUUGUCGCGUCUGCCGUGAAAGUCCGGGGCUCAACUCCGGAUCUGCGGUGGGUACGGGCAGACUAGAGUGAUGUAGGGGAGACUGGAAUUCCUGGUGUAGCGGUGAAAUGCGCAGAUAUCAGGAGGAACACCGAUGGCGAAGGCAGGUCUCUGGGCAUUAACUGACGCUGAGGAGCGAAAGCAUGGGGAGCGAACAGG
rnacentral:rRNA from 1 species